GUAGUCGUGGCCGAGUCGUUAAGGCGACAGACUCGAAAUCUGUUGGGAUAUUCCCGCGCACGUUCAAAUCCUGCCGACUACG
rnacentral:tRNA from 1 species